GGGAGUUGGUAAGAUUUACCUGUAAUGCAUUAACUUCCUCAUCUCUUUUCAUCUUCCAUCUGUUCCUUCCCUUUUCUGUAUUUUGCAGAUUAUUCAAAGCCAAAAGCCAACAGAGCCCCCAUGGAGAAGUGGAGGAUGCUCAGAUACUGCUAUGGAGCCCUGAGAAGUGAAAUGGGUCCAAGCCCUUGCCCAGGAUAGAGCGCUCCAAGCGCAUCCUCCGGGGACCCUUUUAAUCAGUGAAUUGUUCACCUCUCACUGUUUCUUCCCAGCAGAGCUAAGAGACUUCUAGAGCCUCUUGUGGAUGGUCAGCGAUAGCCCUGAUUGAACAUUUGAGCAAGACCAGAUGCCUUUAUAUCCAAUAGAUGCCACGGAGAGUAGAUCACAACACAUCUAACUGCUGUAUCCC
rnacentral:lncRNA from 1 species